rnacentral:rRNA from 1 species
UACGUAGGGUCCGAGCGUUGUCCGGAAUUACUGGGCGUAAAGAGCUCGUAGGUGGUUUGUCGCGUUGUUCGUGAAAACUCACAGCUCAACUGUGGGCGUGCGGGCGAUACGGGCAGACUUGAGUACUGCAGGGGAGACUGGAAUUCCUGGUGUAGCGGUGAAAUGCGCAGAUAUCAGGAGGAACACCGGUGGCGAAGGCGGUUCUCUGGGAAUAUCCUGACGCUGAGGAGCGAAAGUGUGGGGAGCGAACAGG